AUAUCUAAAUCCAAUCUUUGGGAGUUAUAACUCAUUGGCUUAUGGGAGUCUGGCAAGAUACACAGAAAUCUCCCUCUCAGUUUAGGAGGGCUGUCCUAGGAAUAGGGCUGGCUCUCAGAGAUGACAAU
ensembl:scaRNA